rnacentral:rRNA from 1 species
AAUAAGCCACGGCUAACUCUGUGCCAGCAGCCGCGGUAAGACAGAGGUGGCGAGCGUUGUUCGGAAUUACUGGGCUUAAAGGGCGAGUAGGCGGUGGAGUAAGUCUGAGGUGGAAUCCUAUGGCUUAACCAUAGAACUGCCUUAGAAACUGUUUUACUUGAGUCAGUGAGGGGAGGGCGGAAUUCCUGGUGUAGCGGUGAAAUGCGUAGAUAUCAGGAGGAAGGCCUGUGGCGAAGGCGGCCCUCUGGCACUGAACUGACGCUGAGGCGCGAAAGCGUGGGUAGCAAACAGGAUCAGAUACCCUGGUAGUCCACGCCCUAAACGGUGGGCAUUAGGUGUAGGGCUCGUAAGGGUUCUGUGCCGAAGGGAAACCA